AAUUUUCGUUAUUAGUUAAAUAAAAUCCCUUGCGGUUUGCCAGUUCAUCUUUGCCGAUAAAUCCGGGAUCGUUCUGCCACCGACCAACGCCGGAUUCGAUGGCCACCGGCGUCAUCUCCCAGCAGUCAUUGUUCCUGGCCCUCUCCUCUUCCUCCUCUUGUCCAUCGUCGUCGUCGUCGUCGUCGUCGUCUUCGUCGAAGCCCCCGACCAGGGCGGCUAUCCCAUCGCUGCCUUUGUGCUCCUCCCGCCGCCUCUCCAUCUCUUCCCCCAAGGGAUCCAACCGAAGGAGCCGGGAUUCGUACGUCGUCGCCGCCUCGGCCUUGGCCGAGGACCUCGACGUCAUCCCCGUGCAGAGCAGCGACUCCACCGACCAGCAGGACGGCGUCAUCCCCUCCGCCGGGAGGGAGCAGCAGGAGGAGCAGCCCCUCGAGGGGCCUGGCAGCCAAGUCGGCGCCUUCGCUCUCGAGAGCGGGGGCGGAAUCCUCGGUGGCGGUGGAAGCGGCGGAGUUGGUUUAUAUUCCGCGUUACAGGACGAGGAGGACGUUGAGAAGUCGGUGGACCGGGCUAUCAACGCUGCAAUUGUUCUUGCCGCCGGGACUUUCGCCAUCACCAAGCUUCUUACCAUCGACAGCGACUAUUGGCAUGGUUGGACGUUGUAUGAGAUACUUAGGUAUGUACCCCAACAUAAUUGGGCUGCCUAUGAGCAAUCUUUAAAAACAAAUCCAGUUCUUGCAAAAAUGAUGAUAAGUGGUGUUGUUUAUUCUCUAGGCGAUUGGAUUGCCCAGUGCUAUGAAGGAAAACCACUCUUUGAAUUCGAUCGUGCUCGCAUGUUCAGAUCAGGGCUCGUAGGAUUUUCUCUUCACGGGUCACUUUCUCAUUAUUACUACCACUUCUGCGAGGCACUUUUUCCUUUCCAAGACUGGUGGGUUGUGCCUGCUAAGGUGGUGUUCGACCAGACUGCAUGGUCUGCCAUAUGGAACAGUAUCUACUAUGUAGCGUUGGGCUUCUUGCGUUUUGAAUCUCCGGCAAAUAUUUUUAGUGAAUUGAAGGCUACAUUUUGGCCCAUGUUAACUGCAGGGUGGAAGCUUUGGCCUUUUGCACACUUGAUUACUUAUGGUGUUGUUACAGUUGAACAAAGACUUCUUUGGGUGGAUUGUGUGGAGUUAAUAUGGGUGACGAUCCUCUCGACGUAUUCAAAUGAGAAGUCUGAAGCAAGAAAUUCCGAAGUGACUUCGGAGUUGAAUACUAAACCAGCAUCCCAUCUCCCCGAGGAACUGAUAAAUAGCCAAGAAAGGUAGCUGUUCUUGUUGGAACGGAAUGCUGAUUAUGUCGAUUGCAUGUAUAGUGUGACAGAUGGAUACGAAGCCAGGGGACUGCCUGUAGUCCCUUUCUAGCUGAUUUCAAAAUGAGAAGCAGGUCUUGAUUAAUGAAGAAUGUCUAGCAAGCUGAUCUGUUUAAGGUCCCAUGGAAAGUGAUUAAUGUCUGGUGACAGAGUAUCUAACUAAUAAAAUAGAACAAUUCAGACAGGAUUUUACAACAAGUCUUCUUUAGUCAGAAGGUGGCCGGACAAUCUUUAUUUAGAGUGAGUGAAAUUGAGCAAUUGUCCCCCGCACCACUUGUGACUAGACAUGGGUGAAAUUGUUUAAUAAGGCUUCCCAUGAUAGAUUGUCGUCCAAUUCGCCAUCUUCUCUUGUAAGGUGAGUGAUCCAAACUCUUUGGUCCAAGGAUAGCAAAGAUAAUAGGUGUUUGAUGAGAUGCUUAUAGGUGUUUUGCUUGAAGCCAUGCCCUGCCCUGUUCAGUAGCUUGCUAGCAAGAAGACAAUUCGUUUCAACCAAGGUCAACCUUGAUCCAAUUUCCCGAAUAUGCUGUAUUCCAAGCUCAAUUGCCUGCAAUUUAGCACUGAAAAUAAAUGUUGGCUUCCUCUACGAACAUAUCAUCCACGCCAAAGAUCACCUCCUAGCCCAGCAUGUUAGACCCCUCUAUUCAAGGUUGCAUUCGUUUGCAAACUAGCAAAGAAGAUCUCUGAUGCAAUGUGGAAACCUUCUUUUGGUCUUUAACCACAAGGUGCAUUCCUUGAGCGAUAAGGUUAAACCCCUCACACAAUAAUGUAUACUUUUUCAAAACCAAAUUACUCUCCCAUUUUUAUUGUUUCUACGACU